UGACUUCACUAGCCCUGGGUGGUUGGCUAGGCUUCCACUACUAGGUAUGAUUGGCCUCUUGUUGAAUGGGUCUUAGGUCUGGCUAGAGAGCUCCUGUUUCCCACCAAGGUUGGCAGUUGUAAUGCUGCAGUGUUCCUGCCUUGAUGAUAAUGGACUGAACCUCUGAACCUCCAAGGAUGGACAGAGGAGCUAGAAAGGCUGGACUUCUGAUCCCAGAAGGAAGAGGAGCCAGGGAGAAGGAUUUGGCCAUGAGGCAGGUGGGGCUCCAAGAGAAGGAAGCCCAUGAGACAGAAGAAGAGGAAGAAGAUUGGCCAUGAGGAAGAGUCACCAAGGGAGUUCUCCAUGAGCACAGACAGCUAUAGUAGAGUGAGCCAAGGAGAGACUGAAUCAAGAUGGCGUCUCCUGUCCUCAGUGACCAGACAUCUGCCAGAGCCUCAGUGACCAUGACAGGACUGCGACCCUGUCAAGCCAGUGGAAACUUGGGGUCUUUGGUAAUUAUUAGGGUUUUUUGAGGGGCUGUAGGAAGAAAGAAUACACUGGUAGA